rnacentral:rRNA from 2 species
ACGGGUGAGUAACACGUGGGUAACCUGCCUGUAAGACUGGGAUAACUCCGGGAAACCGGGGUUAAUACCGGAUGGUUGUUUGAACCGCAUGGUUCAAACAUAAAAGGGGGCUUCGGCUACCACUUACAGAUGGACCCGCGGCGCAUUAGCUAGUUGGGGAGGUAACGGUUCACCAAGGCAACGAUGCGUAGCCGACCUGAGAGGGUGAUCGGCCACACUGGGACUGAAACACGGCCCAAACUCCUACGGGAGGCAGCAGUAGGGAAUCUUCCGCAAUGGACGAAAGUCUGACGGAGCAACGCCGCGUGAGUGAUGAAGGUUUUCGGAUCGUAAAGCUCUGUUGUUAGGGAAAAACAAGUACCGUUCAAAUAGGGCGGUACCUUGACGGUACCUAACCAAAAAGCCACGGUUAACUACGUGCCAGCAGCCGCGGUAAUACGUAGGGGGCAAGCGUUGUCCGGAAUUAUUGGGCGUAAAGGGCUCGCAGGCGGUUUCUUAAGUCUGAUGUGAAAGCCCCCGGCUCAACCGGGGAGGGUCAUUGGAAACUGGGGAACUUGAGUGCAGAAGAGGAGAGUGGAAUUCCACGUGUAGCGGUGAAAUGCGUAGAG